AGAGCCAUAGCUACCACUAGAUGGCAGUGUUUUAACGUCGGCAAGGGGAAGGGCGCCUGCUGCUAUUUUGAAUAGCCUAGGACUCACACUGUGAAAGGCUUCAUGAGGGCAGCCCCAUGGGACUCAGGUUCCAAGAACAAUGAAUUCAGAGCUCUGUUGUGACUUGAGGCUCCAGCAUGCAGCAGAAGACCAGGUUCUGGUCCUGUGAAAAGCGAAACCAUAGUCUUCAGUCACUGACUAUGAGACCCACCCGCCAUUCAGAAUCACAAGGCUCAGACUAGGACCCAGGCACCCCUGCUUUUUCUCCAGUGUGCUGAGUUCUCCAAGUCUUUGUCCAAUGAGGCCGGCUGCCCUGGGUGUAAGACCCUGAUGUGAAGCUGCACGCCGUGGUUCCUGUUGAUGGCAUGUGGUGGUUGCCGAGGAUGCAGACGCAAAUGAACCAUGAUCAAGAAGCCACAGAUCCAAGCUCUCCCACAAGGACUGAAGACGGAGUGUGAACAAGGAAUGUAGCACUUCUGGAGACAGGCACCUGUUCAUCUCAGAGUAAGGAGUACAAGUGAUCCAACUUAUAAGGAAGAUGAUAGCACUGGACGAACGAACCUGGGAAUAUGGCUGAAUGGCCAAGGUGUAUCUGAAGAAGUAAGGAGCCACAUCUCACCUCUGCUUGGUUGGGUUCUCGAUCUCCCCCUUCUGCUGCAGGAUCCGCUGCAUCUUUCUGAUUUGUCUCCCUCCUGAUACAAAAGCCCUGGAACCCAGUUCAGUAUGAUUCAGCAGAAGUCUGGGCUGACUCAUUGGCCAGUACAUGUGCCUACAAAUCCGGUUUCACAGGCGAAUGAGAUCUGACUAGACUAACAAGAAUUCUACAACAAAUCAUUUUUUCCCAUUUUGUCUGGCGGUUCAGCCACUGCUCUUGUUAAGGCACAGCGGAGUUUGUUUCUUUGGCUACUUGCCUUGCCACAGACCCAUACCACUUAGUUGCCAAGCAGGGGUUCGCUGCCCCAGCACAUGGCAGAGCUAGGUGGUGGAAGAAUGGACUCUUGUGCUAGGUGGUGGAAGAAUGGACUCCACAGCUCCCUCAGGUGGUGGGACUGAGUGCUAGCAGGUGGGUCCCUGGAAGAAAGCCACCCCACACCCACCCCAGGCAGAUGCCAAUUCCAGAAUUGUUCCCCUUCCCAACCCUCAACUUAGUAGCCUUGAAUCAGCAGUGAGUAUAGGAGAAGGGCCCUGGAGGCUCGGAGUGUGACUGUGCCACUUAGUCACUGCCUGAUCUUUAACAAAUAAGCUGACUUUCCUCUUAGAAUUUCUCAGUCAUACAAUGAAGUCACACAGAAUAACCUUUCAGGUC
rnacentral:lncRNA from 1 species